AUUCCUGUGGUUUUAUGUGUCUUCUGGUGGGGUAAUGAUUGAUUGUUCC
rnacentral:tRNA from 1 species